rnacentral:rRNA from 1 species
CCUACGGGAGGCAGCAGUAGGGAAUAUUGGGCAAUGGACGCAAGUCUGACCCAGCCAUGCCGCGUGCAGGAUGAAGGCCUUAUGGGUUGUAAACUGCUUUUAUCUAGGAAGAAAAAACCCUUGCGAGGGGAACUGACGGUACUAGGUGAAUAAGCACCGGCUAACUCCGUGCCAGCAGCCGCGGUAAUACGGAGGGUGCAAGCGUUGUCCGGAUUUAUUGGGUUUAAAGGGUGCGUAGGCGGCCCGUUAAGUCCGUGGUGAAAGCCAACAGCUCAACUGUUGAACUGCCAUGGAUACUGACGGGCUUGAGUACAGACGAGGUAGGCGGAAUGGAUGGUGUAGCGGUGAAAUGCAUAGAUACCAUCCAGAACACCGAUUGCGUAGGCAGCUUACUAGGCUGUAACUGACGCUGAGGCACGAAAGCGUGGGGAGCGAACAGGAUUAGAUACCCUGGUAGUCCACGCUGUAAACGAUGAUUACUCGAUGUUGGCGAUACA